CUCUGGAGAGCGGUGCCCCCGGCUUGGCGGCGCACCCACCGAUGGGGCAACGCAGCGGAAAAUGGCAAUCGCAGCGCUUGCCGAUCCGGCGCGGUAAUCUCUCAGGUAUCAAGGACAGAG
rnacentral:ncRNA from 2 species